AUUGAACGCUGGCGGCAGGCUUAACACAUGCAAGUCGAGCGAGCGGCGGACGGGUGAGUAAUGUCUGGGAAACUGCCUGAUGGAGGGGGAUAACUACUGGAAACGGUAGCUAAUACCGCAUACCAUCAGAUGUGCCCAGAUGGGAUUAGCUAGUCGGUGGGGUAAUGGCUCACCUAGGCGACUAUCCCUAGCUGUUCUGGGAGGAUUAACAGCCAGACGUGAACUGGGACACGGUCUAGCCUCCUACUGGAGGCAGCAGUGUGGAAUAUUGCACCAUGGGGGCAAGCCUGAUGCAGCCAUGCCGCGUGUGUGAAGAAGGCCUUCGGGUUGUAAAGCACUUUCAGCGAGGAGGCGUUACUCGCAGAAGAAGCACCGGCUAACUCCGUGCCAGCAGCCGCGGUAAUUC
rnacentral:rRNA from 1 species